ACCUGGUUGAUCCUGCCGGACCCGACUGCUAUCAGAGUGGGACUAAGCCAUGCGAGUCAACAUAGCAAUAUGUGGCAUACGGCUCAGUAACACGUAGUCAACAUGCCCAGGGGACGUGGAUAACCUCGGGAAACUGAGGAUAAACCGCGAUAAGUCACUACUUCUGGAAUGGGUAAUGACUCAAAUCUAUAUGGCCCCUGGAUUGGACUGCGGCCGAUCAGGCUGUUGGUGAGGUAAUGGCCCACCAAACCUGUAACCGGUACGGGCUCUGAGAGGAGGAGCCCGGAGAUGGGCACUGAGACAAGGGCCCAGGCCCUAUGGGGCGCAGCAGGCGCGAAACCUCUGCAAUAGGCGAAAGCUUGACAGGGUUACUCUGAGUGAUUUCCGUUAAGGAAAUCUUUUGGCACCUCUAAAAAUGGUGCAGAAUAAGGGGUGGGCAAGUCUGGUGUCAGCCGCCGCGGUAAUACCAGCACCCCGAGUGGUCGGGACGUUUAUUGGGCCUAAAGCAUCCGUAGCCGGUUCUACAAGUCUUCCGUUAAAUCCAACUGCUUAACAGGUGGGCUGCGGAAGAUACUAUAGAGCUAGGAGGCGGGAGAGGCAAGCGGUACUCGAUGGGUAGGGGUAAAAUCCGUUGAUCCAUUGAAGACCACCAGUGGCGAAGGCGGCUUGCCAGAAUGCGCUCGACGGUGAGGGAUGAAAGCUGGGGGAGCAAACCGGAUUAGAUACCCGGGUAGUCCCAGCCGUAAACGAUGCAGACUCGGUGAUGGACUGGCCUUGCGCUAGUCCAGUGCCGCAGGGAAGCCGUUAAGUCUGCCGCCUGGGUAGUACGGUCGCAAGACUGAAACUUAAAGGAAUUGGCGGGGGAGCACCACAGGGGGUGAAGCCUGCGGUUCAAUUGGAUUCAA
rnacentral:rRNA from 1 species